AGACCAAGUUUAAGAUUACAAAAAAAAACAGAACAACAAUUUUUUUUCAAAACGUGUCUGCACGAAAAUAGUGCAACAAAUAAAGUGAUAAAAAUGUGAUUGUCGGUGUCGGUAAAAACCCUGGUGUCGCGACUCUCCAUGCUCUCCACUCUAGGCUGCUUAGCAGAUUUGAGGCCUGGAGCCAGCCAUUAAAAAAAAAAAACAUGCAAGUUUUUCUUGUGCUGGUAUUGACCUGUCAACAGCAACCAUCUCACCAUCAUCACCACUUGCUGGAUAAACAACAUCCCGUUUGAGUGGGAGAACCUACCCAGGAUGUCGGUCGAGUUACGGAUCUCUUCUUCCCCUUUCUUGAAAUGUCAUCGUGUAUGCC